AGGGAUAAAAAAAGAGUACGUGUACUCUUAUUGUAUGUACUUUACGAUAAGAUCGGCUAACUCCGUGCCAGCAGCCGCGGUAAUACGGAGGAUCCGAGCGUUAUCCGGAUUUAUUGGGUUUAAAGGGUGCGUAGGCGGACUUAUAAGUCAGCGGUGAAAGUUUGCAGCUUAACUGUAAAAUUGCCGUUGAAACUGUUAGUCUUGAGUGUAAAUGAGGUAGGCGGAAUGUGUUGUGUAGCGGUGAAAUGCUUAGAUAUAACACAGAACACCAAUUGCGAAGGCAGCUUACUGGGAUACAACUGACGCUGAGGCACGAAAGCGUGGGGAUCAAACAGGAUUAGAUACCCUGGUAGUCCACGCAGUAAACGAUGAAUACUAACUGUAUGCGAUAUACUGUAUGCGGUACAGCGAAAGCGUUAAGUAUUCCACCUGGGGAGUACGUUCGCAAGAAUGAAACUCAAAGGAAUUGACGGGGGCCCGCACAAGCGGAGGAACAUGUGGUUUAAUUCGAUGAUACGCGAGGAACCUUACCCGGGCUUGAAAUGCAGACGACCGACCAGGAAACUGGUCUUCCAGCAAUGGCGUCUGUGUAGGUGCUGCAUGGUUGUCGUCAGCUCGUGCCGUGAGGUGUCGGCUUAAGUGCCAUAACGAGCGCAACCCUUAUCAUUAGUUACUAACAGGUUACGCUGAGGACUCUAAUGAGACUGCCACCGUAAGGUGUGAGGAAGGUGGGGAUGACGUCAAAUCAGCACGGCCCUUACGUCCGGGGCGACACACGUGUUACAAUGGGGGGUACAGAGGGUCGCUACCUGGUGACAGGAUGCUAAUCUCAUAAAGCCUCUCUCAGUUCGGAUCGGAGUCUGCAACUCGACUCCGUGAAGCUGGAUUCGCUAGUAAUCGCGCAUCAGCCAUGGCGCGGUGAAUACGUUCCCGGGCCUUGUACACACCGCCCGUCAAGCCAUGGAAGCCGGGGGGACCUGAAGUACGUAACCGUAAGGAGCGUCCUAGGGUAAAACUGGUAACUGGGGCUAAGUCGUAACAAGGUAACC
rnacentral:rRNA from 1 species